UAAAUUAACCCUAAAAAGAGAAAAAGAAAAGGAACCAACCCAGCAUAACUAUAUUUAGUUGGUGAAGGUAGUAUAUAACGCAGCAUGUGAGCACUGGAUCGUGACCAAAAUCAAAAGAUUAUAAAGAGAGAGUUAAAAGGAUUGGUUCAAGACAGUUGAACAUAUUUCCUUAUUAAUAGACCAAAACAUUCAAGUGUUAAAAUAUUAAUCACAAGAAGACGACAAAUAGCCAAAAUUGCAUACAAAACAAAGGUAAUUACCCUAUCCACUUCACAAAUCACGUAAAGUCUAUAUAAACCCAAGAACAGAACAAAUAUUAAACAAAGAUAGAACCUAAUUCUUCACAAAUUCUAUGAACUAAAGAUGAGAAUAUACGAUUUAAUUGCAGAAAACAAGAGAGGCCAGUCUGUCUUAAUAUGGAGAAGAAACCAUUAGCAUACGAAGUUGAACAGAAAUAGGAGAGACGAAAUAUCCAAGAAAGGAAAGGAGUUGCUAUUUCAUUAAAAAGUAGUACAAUUGAAGAGGUAUGUAUUCGUGUGGUGACUUUGCUAAAAUGACAAACCAAUUAUAAUGGAGGAACGAUUACGUGGCGAUGUGAUAUUGGGUUGUGUUGAAAAUUUUAUGACCAGUUUUGGAAAUUGAUCGAGAAAGACCAAGUGAAAUACCGUAUUGGUGCAUUGGUAGGAUGCGUAGGAUUCUUGACCAGUUCACUAAAAAUUAGCCAGCGAAAGUUGGAAAUAGCAGUUGACAUCUACGCGGUAUCUUAAACGAACCUACUACGCGCGAGCUUGCUUAACCAGCGCCCUUGCAGCUUCAAGAUUCAUCAAAAAAAAUUUUUUAAGGCAUUAUUAAAGUGGAAUUGAUUUUAUUUUUUUAUAAAUAAAUUUUUAUUAAUAUUUUGACUAUGAUAGAAUUUUAUAAACAAUUUAUUUUAUUAAAAUUUCAGUGUAAAAUGACACUUUAAAUUGAAUAGUAAUUCAAGUCAAAGUAAGAUUAUUGAUUUAAAUCGAAAACUUUGAACUAUCUUUUAUACAAAUACAAAGAAAAGUAAGUAAGGGAAUAGUAAAUAAAGGUAAACUUAUAUAAUCUACAAAAUCUAUCUAAUUGAAAAAAUUUUAUACUAGUAUUUUUUUUUUUUCCCUUUUUUGAAAAAGAACACAAAUAUUGCAUUAACUUGAUGCAAAAUAUUCCAACAAACACCGCGGGAUUGAAUCCCAAAUUUGAAAGCUAGCAUGACAGCAAGAUGCUCGAGCGACCGAGCAAGCAAGGGUAAGAGCACUGCUUCCAAAGAAAUUGAUUUAUAAUUUUGAUUGCUUAACUAAAGAAUUUUUAGAUUUCAAAUUCAAACAUAAUUGAGAGGUAAAUUAACCCUAAAAAGAGAAAAAGAAAAGGAACCAACCCAGCAUAACUAUAUUUAGUUGGUGAAGGUAGUAUAUAACGCAGCAUGUGAGCACUGGAUCGUGACCAAAAUCAAAAGAUUAUAAAGAGAGAGUUAAAAGGAUUGGUUCAAGACAGUUGAACAUAUUUCCUUAUUAAUAGACCAAAACAUUCAAGUGUUAAAAUAUUAAUCACAAGAAGACGACAAAUAGCCAAAAUUGCAUACAAAACAAAGGUAAUUACCCUAUCCACUUCACAAAUCACGUAAAGUCUAUAUAAACCCAAGAACAGAACAAAUAUUAAACAAAGAUAGAACCUAAUUCUUCACAAAUUCUAUGAACUGGGAUUCCUAUUUUAAA
rnacentral:lncRNA from 1 species